GUGCCCUUGAGGCGUGGCUUCCGGAGCUAACGCGUUAAGUCGACCGCCUGGGGAGUACGGCCGCAAGGUUAAAACUCAAAUGAAUUGACGGGGGCCCGCACAAGCGGUGGAGCAUGUGGUUUAAUUCGAUGCAACGCGAAGAACCUUACCUGGUCUUGACAUCCACAGAACUUUCCAGAGAUGGAUUGGUGCCUUCGGGAACUGUGAGACAGGUGCUGCAUGGCUGUCGUCAGCUCGUGUUGUGAAAUGUUGGGUUAAGUCCCGCAACGAGCGCAACCCUUAUCCUUUGUUGCCAGCGGUCCGGCCGGGAACUCAAAGGAGACUGCCAGUGAUAAACUGGAGGAAGGUGGGGAUGACGUCAAGUCAUCAUGGCCCUUACGACCAGGGCUACACACGUGCUACAAUGGCGCAUACAAAGAGAAGCGACCUCGCGAGAGCAAGCGGACCUCAUAAAGUGCGUCGUAGUCCGGAUUGGAGUCUGCAACUCGACUCCAUGAAGUCGGAAUCGCUAGUAAUCGUGGAUCAGAAUGCCACGGUGAAUACGUUCCCGGGCCUUGUACACACCGCCCGUCACACCAUGGGAGUGGGUUGCAAAAGAAGUAGGUAGCUUAACCUUCGGGAGGGCGCUUACCACUUUGUGAUUCAUGACUGGGGUGAAGUCGUAACAAGGUAACCGUAGGGGAACCUGCGGUUG
rnacentral:rRNA from 1 species